rnacentral:rRNA from 1 species
AGCCCUGGAAACGGGGUCUAAUACCGGAUACGAGCCUCCAAGGCAUCUUGGAGGUUGGAAAGCUCCGGCGGUGAAGGAUGAGCCCGCGGCCUAUCAGCUUGUUGGUGAGGUAAUGGCUCACCAAGGCGACGACGGUAGCCGGCCUGAGAGGGCGACCGGCCACACUGGGACUGAGACACGGCCCAGACUCCUACGGGAGGCAGCAGUGGGGAAUAUUGCACAAUGGGCGAAAGCCUGAUGCAGCGACGCCGCGUGAGGGAUGACGGCCUUCGGGUUGUAAACCUCUUUCAGCAGGGAAGAAGCGCAAGUGACGGUACCUGCAGAAGAAGCGCCGGCUAACUACGUGCCAGCAGCCGCGGUAAUACGUAGGGCGCAAGCGUUGUCCGGAAUUAUUGGGCGUAAAGAGCUCGUAGGCGGCUUGUCACGUCGAUUGUGAAAGCCCGAGGCUUAACCUCGGGUCUGCAGUCGAUACGGGCUAGCUAGAGUGUGGUAGGGGAGAUCGGAAUUCCUGGUGUAGCGGUGAAAUGCGCAGAUAUCAGGAGGAACACCGGUGGCGAAGGCGGAUCUCUGGGCCAUUACUGACGCUGAGGAGCGAAAGCGUGGGGAGCGAACAGGAUUAGAUACCCUGGUAGUCCACGCCGUAAACGGUGGGAACUAGGUGUUGGCGACAUUCCACGUCGUCGGUGCCGCAGCUAACGCAUUAAGUUCCCCGCCUGGGGAGUACGGCCGCAAGGCUAAAACUCAAAGGAAUUGACGGGG